GCCUAGUGCUGGAGAAACAGCAGAGAUGAAAAUUGCUGCCUGAUACUCAUAUAAUGAGCAGCUCACAGCAGGGCAGAGGAACAAGGAUGACACUGCAUGGCAAAAUAAAGCCUGAGCCAUUCAUUGCAUAUUAGCUUCUCUUCAAUUCAAAGAAACAUGAAUCCCCUCCACAGCUAUUAUAAAUAAAAGUAACAUUACAGAAAUUGCUAUGUCAGGUAUAAUGUAGGUUGCACUUUUUCUCCCAAGUUCUCUUCUCUGGUUAGCUAUUCUUUAGCUCUGAAGAAUCUGAUGGGCUGUCCUAACAUGCACACUGAUGUAAUAAUGCAAUUACACUGUUACUAACCACCUGAAUAUAGAACACAACAUGCAUAAGUGAGAAAGUUGCUAAUACUCAACUACUGCCUGCCCUGUUAAGCAACUGCUGAUUCAAGAUAACAUAUUUGCCACUAAGAGAUUUCAGGGUUACAUUGUAGUGUAUAUGCUGAACGCUUAACAACAAUACCAGGGUGUUUCUACAAUGCACUGCAAUGCCAGCUUCCUAAGAAAUGUUUGGUGAGUUCUGCAGUUCAGGAGAGAACAGCAAGAAAGAUAAAACCACAGGGAUAAUCUAGUAAAUCUAUCCAGAGGUUUGGACUGACAAGUCAGAUACAGUUUGUGUUAUUUAUAUGUCAGUAGUAUUCCUCAUUAAGUAGCCAGAGGUUACAGAAGCAGUACAAAAUAUAUUUGUUGUAUAGAAUUCUAUUAUUUAAACAUUUCUGAUUAUCUAAGAAGAUACUGCCAUUGGCUACAAAAUCAGCUUGUUGCAGAGGAUGGUAGAGGUAGAGAACAGCAGAGGAUUAUACAUAAAACUUGAAAAUAAAAUGAAUAAAUACAAUAUUUUGAUGAUACAAAAAAAAUAGUUAGGGAAAUAACUGUACCACUUUCUUUUGACAGAUGUUUGUUUGGGGAUCUGGUGAUGUACAUGUCUUCCUGUCAUCAGAAAAAAAGCAGACCAAGAAUCACAAUGACUUACCACACUGUCUUGCUCAGCAAAUUUUUUUUUAGGAUAAAGUGCAAACACUGAAAAUGCUUAGCGCUUAUAUAUCAAGCAAUGCCGUUGUAAAUAUUAGAA
rnacentral:lncRNA from 1 species